rnacentral:rRNA from 1 species
UACGAAGGGGGCUAGCGUUGCUCGGAAUCACUGGGCGUAAAGCGCACGUAGGCGGCUUUCUAAGUCAGGGGUGGAAUCCUGGAGCUCAACUCCAGAACUGCCUUUGAUACUGGAGAGCUCGAGUCCGGAAGAGGUGAGUGGAACUCCGAGUGUAGAGGUGAAAUUCGUAGAUAUUCGGAAGAACACCAGUGGCGAAGGCGGCUCACUGGUCCGGUACUGACGCUGAUGUGCGAAAGCGUGGGGAGCAAACAGG